GCUCACUUCCAGUGCUGGGCUACCUCUGAUUCAGGACUGUGUCCAGUAUGAGGUAUGCUGUAAAGCGGAGAUGGCGAAGGAAUGCUGUAGGAGGAUCAGACUUCUUGAAGGGGGAUUUGGAAGAGCAUCUGCAAGGUAACCAUUUCUUACUGUCCUCGUUCAGAGAUCUCUGGCUCAGUUAUGGAGGUACAGUGACAAUUUUUCUUUUACGUUCAAGUCCUUCACAACUUGCCAUACUCUGGUGCUUUGCAAAUGCCAGUGGAAAGCUCCCUGCGGAAUCAAAUCCCAGCCUUGCUAAAUUAGAGAUAUAACAUGAAAGGUGCACUAUAAAUCAUAGUGUGCCUUCGUAGCUCCAUUCCUAUGUGAACAGUAUGCUAGAGCCCGUGCAUUAAGCAAUAGAGCUCUGACAAACAGAUCCAAUUCUGCAUCAGCUGACAAAAAACAUGAUUUACCCUAAAGAUUUGCAUAUAGAGAAACUGUUACAGACUCCCAGCUGGUGUUUUUCCUCACCUCUUGUGUUUGUGGCAGGAAGAAAUACUUGGAGCUGACAAGCUGGUUAGCUGUCAAUUAGCUGGUGAAUGUGCUCAGUGCUGCAGAUAAUGCAGCCAAGCAAAAUGUGCUUGGGUGGUGAGGCAGUGGCACAGGUUGCCCUGAGGUGGUGGAUGCCCCAUCCCUGCAGACAC
ensembl:lncRNA